rnacentral:rRNA from 1 species
ACCUACGGGAGGCAGCAGUGGGGAAUAUUGGGCAAUGGACGCAAGUCUGACCCAGCAACGCCGCGUGAAGGAAGAAGGCUUUCGGGUUGUAAACUUCUUUUAAGGGGGAAGAGCAGAAGACGGUACCCCUUGAAUAAGCCACGGCUAACUACGUGCCAGCAGCCGCGGUAAUACGUAGGGGGCAAGCGUUAUCCGGAUUUACUGGGUGUAAAGGGAGCGUAGGUGGCAAGGCAAGUCAGAUGUGAAAACCUGGGGCCCAACCCCGGGAGUGCAUUGGAAACUGUCUGGCUAGA